GCCGGCUAUGAACAGGAAGUGGACCUCCACCAGAACAUGAACAUGCUGGAGACAUGAUCUUGGACUUCUAGCCUCCAGAACUUCCUUUUCUGGGGGACUCCAAAUACCACGUUGUGAGAAAGCUUUAUAGAGGCGCACAUGGCAAGAGAGUGACACCUGCUAACAAGAACCUGAGUGAAGUAUAUUCCCCCCAACCCCAGAUCAAAUUCAGAUGAAACCAUUGCCCUGGUCAACAGCUUACCUGCAACCUCAUAAGAGAUCAUGAGCCAGGAACAUCUAGGU
rnacentral:lncRNA from 1 species